rnacentral:rRNA from 1 species
GACGAACGCUGGCGGCGUGCUUAACACAUGCAAGUCGAACGGACUACUUUGCUUCGGUAAGGUGGUUAGUGGCGAACGGGUGAGUAACGCGUAGACAACCUACCUCUUAGAUGGGGCCAACAUCGCGAAAGCGGUGCUAAUACCGAAUGAAGUGACUUUCCUGCAUGGGAGAGAUACUAAAGGUGGCCUCUAUUUAUAAGCUACCACUGAGAGAUGGGUCUGCGUCUGAUUAGCUAGUUGGCGGGGUAAUGGCCAACCAAGGCGACGAUCAGUAGCCGAACUGAGAGGUUGAUCGGCCACAUUGGGACUGAGACACGGCCCAAACUCCUACGGGAGGCAGCAGUAGGGAAUCUUCCACAAUGGACGAAAGUCUGAUGGAGCAACGCCGCGUGAGUGAAGAAGGUUUUCGGAUCGUAAAACUCUGUUGUCAGAGAAGAACGUGUGCGAGAGUAACUGCUCGUGCAGUGACGGUAUCUGGCCAGAAAGCCACGGCUAACUACGUGCCAGCAGCCGCAGUAA